GCCCGAGUGGUCCAGGGGUAAGAUUCAUCGUUCGGGUGUGCAAACCUUGUCUCGAUGAGACCCGCGUUCGAAUCGCGGCUCGGGCC
rnacentral:tRNA from 3 species